GACGAACGCUGGCGGCGUGCUUAACACAUGCAAGUCGAGCGGUAAGGCCCUUUCGGGGGUACACGAGCGGCGAACGGGUGAGUAACACGUGGGUGACCUGCCCUCAGCUCUGGGAGUAAGCCUGGGAAACUAGGGUCUAAUACUGGAUAUGACUCCACGGUGCAUGUCGUGGGGUGGAAAGCCUUGUGCGGCUGAGGAUGGGCCCGCGGCCUAUCAGCUUGUUGGUGGGGUGGAUGGCCUACCAAGGCGACGACGGGUAGCCGGCCUGAGAGGGCGACCGGCCACACUGGGACUGAGACACGGCCCAGACUCCUACGGGAGGCAGCAGUGGGGAAUCUUGCGCAAUGGGCGAAAGCCUGACGCAGCGACGCCGCGUGAGGGAUGAC
rnacentral:rRNA from 1 species